rnacentral:rRNA from 1 species
UCUGUUCCUUUUUUUCCCUCCUCCUCUUUAUUACGGAAGGUCCGGGCGUUAUCCGGAUUUAUUGGGUUUAAAGGGAGCGUAGGCCGGAGAUUAAGCGUGUUGUGAAAUGUAGACGCUCAACGUCUGCACUGCAGCGCGAACUGGUUUCCUUGAGUACGCACAAAGUGGGCGGAAUUCGUGGUGUAGCGGUGAAAUGCUUAGAUAUCACGAAGAACUCCGAUUGCGAAGGCAGCUCACUGGAGCGCAACUGACGCUGAAGCUCGAAAGUGCGGGUAUCGAACAGG